AUUGAACGCUGGCGGCAGGCCUAACACAUGCAAGUCGAACGAGUGGCGGACGGGUGAGUAAUGUCUGGGAAACUGCCAGAUGGAGGGGGAUAACUACUGGAAACGGUAGCUAAUACCGCAUACCAUCGGAUGUGCCCAGAUGGGAUUAGCUAGUAGGUGGGGGAACGGCUCACCUAGGCGACGAUCCCUAGCUGGUCUUAGAGGAUGACCAGCCACACUGUAACUGGGACACGGUUCGGACUCCUACGGGAGACAGCAGUGGGGAAUAUUGCAGAAAGGUCGCAAGCCUGAUGCAGCCAUGCCGCGUGUAUGAAGAAUGCCUUCGGGUUGUAAAGUACUUUCAGCGAGGAGGCGGUACUCGCAGAAGAAGCACCGGCUAACUCCGUGGCAGCAGCCGCGGGAAC
rnacentral:rRNA from 1 species